rnacentral:rRNA from 1 species
GGACGGGUGAGUAAUGUCUGGGAAACUGCCCGAUGGAGGGGGAUAACUACUGGAAACGGUAGCUAAUACCGCAUAACGUCGCAAGACCAAAGAGGGGGACCUUAGGGCCUCUUGCCAUCGGAUGUGCCCAGAUGGGAUUAGCUAGUAGGUGGGGUAAUGGCUCACCUAGGCGACGAUCCCUAGCUGGUCUGAGAGGAUGACCAGCCACACUGGAACUGAGACACGGUCCAG